GUCCCUUUCCAUGACUCCCAGGUCCCACUUAAGGACCAAAAGUGUGUCCCAUUUGAUCCCACCCAACGGAACAAAAUACGCACAAGUUCCUUCGAAGAGUUCCAUACCGUCGAGUAGAAUUGUUGAAACAAAUUACUUGGAAAAUCCAAUCCCUCCGAAAAUUCAACCAGAUUCCGAUUUCUCUCUGGAGCCUUUCCGAUCCUGAACCGACACUAAACCAGAAAUCUACUAAUCCGCACAACUACAGAUCUCAUUCGUAUUGUAAUUGAUUUUUUAUUGAAGUCGUUAUCUCGCGGUAAAGUUUGUUAUUUUUUCGUUUUCAAUGGCGACGAGGAAUCGGACGAUCUUGUAUAAGAAGUACAGGGACGCAUUAAAGAGCGUCCGGGCUCCGUCAGGUUCGUCGCCGGCGAGUUCCGCUGGAGGACCCGUGAUAGAGCUGUCGACGACCUCGUUGCUUAAUCACAAUCGCUCAUACGUCCCUCUCAGCACCGAAGAUCCGGGAACAUUGAGGUACUACUUAUGCUUUGCAACUUUGAAUUUCUAACCGUGUGAGCUUUUCUUAUUUUAUGAAUCUCAAGUCGUGAUUUUUUUGAGACGAUAUCAGAUAUCCUCAUGUAUAAGUCAGUGGACUCCGUGUGAUCGAUUUAGUAGGUCAAAGAGGUUCUGUAAUGCGUUGAUCCCUGGCAAAAAAUGUUUUUGGCAUCCUAUUUGAAUAUUUGGAGAUUCGAAUUUUGGUGAAUGAUCUAAAUAAAUUUCCCGUCCUAGUUUACCAGGGGAAAUUAUUUUGAUUAAGAAUUGGGUCUUUUACUUUUAUACUGGUAUACAAGGUUCACAAUGGCUUCGGCAACAAACACAAAUGUACAAUUCUUGGGUUCAUGCCUGGCCUGAUCUGAGGAGAACACCAACAAUUGACAAAGCAAUUCGAAUAGACGUCACUGUUUUAGUAUUUAAUGCAGUAAACACGUGGAUGAUCCAAGUUAACGUCAGUGCCUUAGUAAAGAGCGCAAGGAAGAGGAAGAUGAAAGGAACUGAAAUGUGGUUCUGAAUAUGAUUUGACCAUUUUCGGAUUCUAAGGCAAUGACUUUAACACAGCUGAAAGGAAGAGAAUGAAAUCUGUUGCUGUCCUCUGGUAUCAUGGGAUAGGGCUUUUUUGUGGUUUUACAAUGUUUAGAUUGUGAUCUUACACAAUUUUUUUCCAUCCCAGUCUAGGUUCAGCUUCCAGUAGUCACAAUAAUUUGCUUCAAGACCUAAUUUUACUUGUGCAGCUGCUUGAUUCUGUUUUAUGAUUGAUAUGUAGAUAUUGAUUACCAUUUUUUCUGCAUAUCAUGUAUUCACCUCCACAUUUGAGUAUAUUUUGGCAAAAAAGAAUACUCCUUGUGAGUGAAUGGGCAAGAAACUAUGUUAAAGAAACUUAGCAGAAAAAAAAAAA